CCUACGGGGAGCAGCAGUGGGGAAUAUUGGACAAUGGGCGAAAGCCUGAUCCAGCCAUGCCGCGUGUGUGAAGAAGGCCUUCGGGUUGUAAAGCACUUUCAGUGGGGAAGAAAGCCUUGGGGCUAAUACCCUCGAGGAAGGACAUCACCCACAGAAGAAGCACCGGCUAACUCCGUGCCAGCAGCCGCGGUAAUACGGAGGGUGCGAGCGUUAAUCGGAAAUACUGGGCGUAAAGCGCGCGUAGGCGGUCUGAUAAGCCGGUUGUGAAAGCCCCGGGCUCAACCUGGGAACGGCAUCCGGAACUGUCAGGCUAGAGUGCAGGAGAGGAAGGUAGAAUUCCCGGUGUAGCGGUGAAAUGCGUAGAGAUCGGGAGGAAUACCAGUGGCGAAGGCGGCCUUCUGGACUGACACUGACGCUGAGGUGCGAAAGCGUGGGUAGCAAACAGGAUUAGAUACCCGUGUAGUC
rnacentral:rRNA from 1 species